rnacentral:rRNA from 1 species
UACGGAGGGUGCAAGCGUUAUCCGGAUUCACUGGGUUUAAAGGGUGCGUAGGUGGGCAGGUAAGUCAGUGGUGAAAUCUCCGGGCUUAACUCGGAAACUGCCAUUGAUACUAUCUGUCUUGAAUACCGUGGAGGUUAGCGGAAUAUGUCAUGUAGCGGUGAAAUGCUUAGAUAUGACAUAGAACACCAAUUGCGAAGGCAGCUCACUACGGAUAUAUUGACACUGAGGCACGAAAGCGUGGGGAUCAAACAGG